rnacentral:rRNA from 1 species
GAUGAACGCUGGCGGCGUGCUUAACACAUGCAAGUCGAACGAAGCACUUUAUUUGAUUUCCUUCGGGACUGAUUAUUUUGUGACUGAGUGGCGGACGGGUGAGUAACGCGUGGGUAACCUGCCUUGUACAGGGGGAUAACAGUUGGAAACGGCUGCUAAUACCGCAUAAGCGCACAGCAUCGCAUGAUGCAGUGUGAAAAACUCCGGUGGUAUAAGAUGGACCCGCGUUGGAUUCGCUAGUUGGUGAGGUAACGGCCCACCAAGGCGACGAUCCAUAGCCGACCUGAGAGGGUGACCGGCCACAUUGAGACUGAGACACGGCCCAAACUCCUACGGGAUGCAGCAGUGGGGAAUAUUGCACAAUGGGCGAAAGCAUGAUGCAGCGACGCCGCGUGAGCGAAGAAGUAUUUCGGGAUGUAAAGCUCUAUCAGCAGGGAAGAUAAUGACGGUACCUGACGAAGAAGCACCGGCUAAAUACGUG